GAUGAACGCUAGCGGGAGGCCUAACACAUGCAAGCCGAGCGGUAUUGUUUCUUCGGAAAUGAGAGAGCGGCGUACGGGUGCGGAACACGUGUGCAACCUGCCUUUAUCUGGGGGAUAGCCUUUCGAAAGGAAGAUUAAUACUCCAUAAUAUAUUGAACGGCAUCGUUUAAUAUUGAAAGCUCCGGCGGAUAGAGAUGGGCACGCGCAAGAUUGGCUAGUUGGUGAGGUAACGGCUCACCAAGGCGAUGAUCUUUAGGGGGCCUGAGAGGGUGAUCCCCCACACUGGUACUGAGACACGGACCAGACGCCUACGGGAGGCAGCAGUGAGGAAUAUUGGUCAAUGGGUGCAAGCCUGAACCAGCCAUCCCGCGUGAAGGACGACUGCCCUAUGGGUUGUAAACUUCUUUUGUAUAGGGAUAAACCUACCCUCGUGAGGGUAGCUGAAGGUAUUAUACGAAUAAGCACUGGCUAACUCCGUGCCAGCCGCCGCCGUAACAC
rnacentral:rRNA from 1 species